GAUGAACGCUGGCGGCGUGCCUAACACAUGCAAGUCGAACGGGGUUUAGACGCUGACGAGACUUCGGUCAAAUCUUGUCUAAACUUAGUGGCGAACGGGUGAGUAACGCGUGGGCAACCUGCCCCGUACCGGGGGAUAGCGGCUGGAAACGGCCGGUAAUACCGCAUAAGCGCACAGCACGGCAUCGUGCAGUGUGAAAAACUCCGGUGGUACGGGAUGGGCCCGCGUCUGAUUAGCCAGUUGGCGGGGUAACGGCCCACCAAAGCGACGAUCAGUAGCCGGGCUGAGAGGCCGGACGGCCACAUUGGGACUGAGACACGGCCCAGACUCC
rnacentral:rRNA from 1 species